AACGCACCUUGCACCCUUUGGUAUUCCGAAGGGUAUGCCUGUUUGAGUGUCAUUAUAUUCUCAACCAUUGAACUUGUUUCUCUGGCUUGGAUGUGGGGGUUGCGGGCUUCGCAAGAGGUCGGCUCUCCUUAAAUGCAUUAGUGGAAACCGCUUGCAGGAUUCAUUCACUUUUUGGCGUGAUAGUAUCGUCGUCAAAGGUAGUGUCUCCGAGGUAUCUGCUUUCUAACCGUCCUUUACGGGACUCUUAAUGACUUGUUUGACCUCAAAUCAGGUAGGACUACCCGCUGAACUUAA
rnacentral:misc_RNA from 1 species